rnacentral:rRNA from 1 species
CAGGCCUAACACAUGCAAGUCGAACGAGAACGGAUUAUAGCUUGCUAUAAUUGUCAGCUAAGUGGCGCACGGGUGAGUAAUAUAUAGAUAACCUGCCCUCUAGAAAGGAAUAACAGUUGGAAACGACUGCUAAUGCCCUAUAUGCCUUUAAUACAUAAGUAUGCAAGGGAAACGCUUUAGUGCUAGAGGAUGGGUCUGUAUGGUAUCAGCUUGUUGGUGAGGUAAUGGCUCACCAAGGCUAUGACGCCUAACUGGUUUGAGAGGAUGAUCAGUCACACUGGAACUGAGACACGGUCCAGACUCCUACGGGAGGCAGCAGUGGGGAAUAUUGCACAAUGGACGAAAGUCUGAUGCAGCAACGCCGCGUGGAGGAUGACACAUUUCGGUGCGUAAACUCCUUUUAUAUGGGAAGUAAUGACGGUACCAUAUGAAUAAGCACCGGCUAACUCCGUGCCAGCAGCCGCGGUAAUACGGAGGGUGCAAGCGUUACUCGGAAUCACUGGGCGUAAAGAGCGUGUAGGCGGGUAUAUAAGUCAGAAGUGAAAUCCAAUAGCUUAACUAUUGAACUGCUUUUGAAACUGUGUACCUAGAAUGUGGGAGAGGUAGAUGGAAUUUCUGGUGUAGGGGUAAAAUCCGUAGAGAUCAGAAGGAAUACCGAUUGCGAAGGCGAUCUACUGGAACAUUAUUGACGCUGAGACGCGAAAGCGUGGGGAGCAAACAGGAUUAGAUACCCUGGUAGUCCACGCCCUAAACGAUGCACACUAGUUGUUGUGAGGCUAGACCUUGCAGUAAUGCAGUUAACACAUUAAGUGUGCCGCCUGGGGAGUACGGUCGCAAGAUUAAAACUCAAAGGAAUUGACGG